rnacentral:rRNA from 1 species
CCAUACGAAUAACAUCGCCUAACUCCGUGCCAGCAGCCGCGGUAAUACGGAGAUGCAAGCAUUAUCCGGAUUUAUUGGGUUUAAAGGGUGCGCAGGCGGAUUAGUAAGUCAGUGGUGAAAGCUCCCGGCUCAACCGGGAAAUGCCAUUGAUACUGUUAAUCUUGAGUACAGUUGAGGUUGNCGGAAUGUAUCAUGUAGCGGUGAAAUGCAUAGAUAUGAUACAGAACACCGAUAGCGAAGGCAGCUUACCAAACUGUAACUGACGCUCAUGCACGAAAGCGUGGGGAGCAAACAGGAUUAGAUACCCUGGUAGUCCACGCUGUAAACUAUGAUCACUCGCUGUUGGCGAUACACUGUCAGCGGCUUAGCGAAAGUGUUAAGUGAUCCACCUGGGGAGUACGAUCGCAAGGUUGAAACUCAAAGGAAUUGACGGGGGCCCGCACGAGCGGAGGAGCAUGUGGUUUAAUUCGAUGAUACGCGAGGAACCUUACCUGGGCUUAAAUGCAGAACGACCUCCCGAGAAAUCGGGACUUCCUUCGGGACGGACUGCAAGGUGCUGCAUGGUUGUCGUCAGCUCGUGCCGUGAGGUGUCGGGUUAAGUCCCAUAACGAGCGCAACCCUUAUCCUUAGUUGCCAACAGGUAAUGCUGGGAACUCUAAGGAAACUGCCUACGCAAGUAGUGAGGAAGGUGGGGAUGACGUCAAAUCAGCACGGCCCUUAUGUCCAGGGCUACACACGUGCUACAAUGGUCGGUACAGAGGGCAGCUACCUGGCAACAGGAUGCUAAUCUCGAAAGCCGGUCUCAGUUCGGAUUGGAGUCUGCUAUAACUCGUACUCCUUAUGUAAGUUGGUAUUCGCUAGUAAUCGCGCAUCAGCCAUGGCGCGGUGAAUACGUUCCCGGGCCUUGUACACACCGCCCGUCAAGCCAUGGAAGCUGGGAGUACCUGAAGUCUGUUACCG